CCUUAAUAACAUGCUUUAGCUUUUGGUCAGCCCUGAAGUGGUCAGGCGGUUGGACUAGAUAAUUGUCGUAGGUCCCUUCCAAGAGAGAGUCUAGUCUAUUCUAAAACACUGAAAAUUUCAUAGUUGAUAUUGACUUA